GCAUAUCAAUCAAUCGAGGUAAAAAAGAAAAGCUAGAAAGGGAUUCCCCUAGUAACGGCGAGUGAAGCGGGAUGAAGCUCAAAUUUAAAAUCUGGCCCGGUUUACUGGGUCCCGAAUUGUAGUUUAAAGAAGCGUUUUCGGUGGCAGCCUGGGUAUAAAAUCCUUUGGAAUAGGGUAUCAUAGAGGGUGAGAAUCCCGUCUUUGACUCAGUGCAUGCUACUAUGUGAUACGUUUUCAAAGAGUCGAGUUGUUUGGGAAUGCAGCUCAAAAUGGGUGGUAAAUCUCAUCUAAAGGCUAAAUAUUGGCGAGAGACCGAUAGCGAACAAGUACCGUGAGGGAAAGAUGAAAAGAACUUUGAAAAGAGAGUUAAACAGUGCGUGAAAUUGUUGAAAGGGAAACGUUUGACACCAGUCAUGCGGGCGGAAAAUCAGUCUUUUGUAGUGGGGAAGCGCGUGGGUUCAGACCGCAAGGCUGGCCUAUGUGUUCUCUCUGCUGCGAGUGAUGCACUUUUUCGUCUGCAGGCCAACAUCAGUUUCUUCUGCUGGACAAAACUCUAAGAGAAGGUAGCAGCUUAGGCUGUGUUAUAGCUCUGGAGCGAUACAGUGGAGGAGACUGAGGUUUUCGCAGCGUGUGCUCUCGGGCAAGGCGGAUUGGGUGCUAUGAGAUCGUUCGGCGUACAAUGCAUGCAUUUUGCGCCGUGUCUUUUUCAUACUCGCUCAACUCUGCUCUUCCACGCUUAGGAUGUUGGCAUAAUGGUUUUAACCGACCCGUCUUGAAACACGGACCAAGGAGUCUAACAUAUAUGCGAGUGUUUGGGUGGCAAACCCAUACGCGUAAUGAAAGUGAACGUAGGUGCCAUCCGCAAGGUGCAGCAUCGACCGAUCUUGAAUUUUUUAGGAUAGAUUUGAGUAAGAGCAUAUAUGCUGGGACCCGAAAGAUGGUUGAACUAUGCCUUGAAUAGGGUGAAGCCAGAGGAAACUGCUGGGUGGAGGCUCGUAGCGAUUUCUGACGUGCAAAUUCGAUCGUCAAAUUUGGGGUAUAGGGGGCGAAAGACUAAUCGGAACUCAUCUAGUAGCCUGGUUCUUGCGA
rnacentral:rRNA from 1 species